rnacentral:rRNA from 1 species
UACGUAGGGGGGCAAGCGUUGUCCGGAUUUAUUGGGCGUAAAGAGCUCGUAGGCGGUCUGUUGCGUCCGCUGUGAAAACUCGGGGCUUAACCCCGGGUCUGCAUUCGAUACGGGCAGACUAGAGUGUGGUAGGGGGAGAUCGGAAUUCCUGGUGUAGCGGUGAAAUGCGCAGAUAUCAGGAGGAACACCGGUGGCGAAGGCGGAUCUCUGGGCCAUUACUGACGCUGAGGAGCGAAAGCGUGGGGAGCGAACAGG